rnacentral:lncRNA from 1 species
GUGAAUUUAGAGGUCGAAAGACGACCUUCCUCUUCACCAUCUUUCUGACCUCCGAUUGGAGUUCCUCUGGCCGCUUCACCGCAGGCUCUGGCUUCCUUUUCUCCAGGUACCUUUCUAUGGAGAGAUUAUGGACGUUUGCUGGUGAUGGUGGAUGGCGUGUGAGGCUCAGCUUAAGCACUUUUGGACUAACUCUGAAAACAAGAACCUGUACUGUCUGCGCAGGAAGUCUCUGUGAUGACCAGGUCUCACCGUCCAGAUCUGCAGGCAGCUCAGCCUUCAGAACCGUGACAGAGCCAAGUGAUUGUUGGGAGCAGAGGAAUGGGAGAAAGCCAGAAAUCCAUUGAAAGAUACUUUUAAUCCACUUAGGAAUACUUACGUAAAUACAUCUUGAAAACUUAAACUGGAAAUAAGCUUACACCAGAAUGAAACCAGUAGGCUGUGCAGGGGCUGGCUGUGGUCAGGACUCAGCAGGUGAAGGUGCCUGCUGCCCAGCCUGAUGAUCCGAGUCCACUUUCUGGAAUCUCCAUGGUUGACUGCCUCCAAGAGUUCCUUCUACAGCUGGAAUGCAAGAUCCUGAGUGGAGUCCAGGUGGUGGGUCUGGGAGCCUCCAGAGAGUCAUGGCCAGUCAGGAUGGCUGCCGUCCCCGUGCUUCUGGAGAGGGGCUUAGCCAAGAGGAAGCCACCCCAAAGGCUGAUCUCCUGACAGUUGAGCCGGUCCCCUGACAUGUGGCAUGCUGCAGGUGGUGCCUUCCCUUUCCUCUGUUGUCCAGCUCUGACAGACAGCCAGGAUGGCAGGGUGUCCAGCCAGGCCACUGGUGGUAUAGUGCCAGGGAAAUGUUAGUGCCCCCCCC